CAGCCGCCACGGUAAUACGUAGGUGGCGAGCGUUGUCCGGAAUCAUUGGGCGUAAAGGGAGCGCAGGCGGGCAUGUAAGUCUUUCUUAAAAGUGCGGGGCUCAACCCCGUGAUGGGAAAGAAACUACAUGUCUUGAGUACAGGAGAGGAAAGCGGAAUUCCCAGUGUAGCGGUGAAAUGCGUAGAUAUUGGGAGGAGCACCAGUGGCGAAGGCGGCUUUCUGGACUGCAACUGACGCUGAGGUUCGAAAGCCAGGGGAGCGAACGGGAUUAGAUACCCCAGUAGUCCCUGUCUCUUAUACA
rnacentral:rRNA from 1 species